UACGUAGGGUGCAGGCGUUAAUCGGAAUUACUGGGCGUAAAGCGUGCGCAGGCGGUUUGCUAAGACAGGUGUGAAAUCCCCGGGCUCAACCUGGGAACUGCAUCUGUGACUGCAUUGCUGGAGUGCGGCAGAGGGGGAUGGAAUUCCGCGUGUAGCAGUGAAAUGCGUAGAUAUGCGGAGGAACACCGAUGGCGAAGGCAAUCCCCUGGGCCUGCACUGACGCUCAUGCACGAAAGCGUGGGGAGCAAACAGG
rnacentral:rRNA from 1 species